rnacentral:rRNA from 1 species
UACGGGGGGGGCAAGCGUUGUUCGGAAUUACUGGGCGUAAAGGGCUCGUAGGUGGCCAACUAAGUCAGACGUGAAAUCCCUCGGCUUAACCGGGGAACUGCGUCUGAUACUGGAUGGCUUGAGUUCGGGAGAGGGAUGCGGAAUUCCAGGUGUAGCGGUGAAAUGCGUAGAUAUCUGGAGGAACACCGGUGGCGAAGGCGGCAUCCUGGACCGUGACUGACGCUGAGACGCGAAAGCGUGGGGAGCAAACAGG